AUCGCAAUGAAAAACGCACCCUUAGGCUUUAGCAAUUGCAGGGUAACGUUAAUGUGGAAUUAGGGCAAGAUGAUCGUGACGAACACGCCGGCAGCGGACCUAGCGCUGACCAACCUGGCCUACUGCUCGCACGCCGAUCACCACGGCUUUACCGUCCCAGGCACCAAGCUCUUCCUCGCUUCCAUCAGCGAUUCCUUCGUUCUCUCUGUUUCUGCUCAUGAAAGCAUACGCAGUGGCCAGAUUGCCCUAAAUGCGAUUCAGCGUCGGCAUGCUAGAGUUUCCUCCGGCGAUUCGAUAUCUGUUAGCAGAUUUAUUCCGCCUGAUAAUUUCGACGUGGUGUUGCUUACACUUGAGUUGGAGUUUGUUAAAAAGGGGAAUAAAAAUGAACAGGUUGAUGCUGUUCUUCUGGCUAACCAACUUAGAAAGAGAUUUAUCAACCAGGUCAUGACAACGGGGCAAAAAGUAUCGUUUGAGCAUCAUGGAAAUAACUAUAUCUUCACUGUCAAUCAAGCUGCUGUUGAGGGCCAACAAAGCUCUAAUGCUCCUGAAAGAGGGAUGAUUUCAAGCGAUACAUACUUUGUCUUUGAAACAUCAAAUGGGAGUGGAAUAAAGAUUGUCAAUCAGCGUGAAGCAGCCAGCAGCAACAUCUUCAGGCAUAAGGAGUUUAAUCUUCAAGCACUUGGUAUAGGUGGCCUAAGUGCAGAGUUUGCAGAUAUAUUUCGAAGAGCCUUUGCUUCUCGUGUUUUCCCUCCCCAUGUGACAAAUAAAUUGGGGAUUAAGUAUGUGAAGGGAAUGCUGCUUUUUGGGCCUCCUGGUACUGGAAAAACACUUAUUGCUCGUCAAAUUGGAAAUAUGUUGAAUGGGAGGGAACCGAAGAUUGUUAAUGGACCUGAAGUUUUGAGCAAAUUCGUUGGUGAAACUGAAAAGAAUGUUAGGGAUCUUUUUGCCGAUGCUGAGAAUGAUCAAAGAAGUCGGGGGGAUCAAAGUGAUUUGCAUGUAAUAAUUUUUGACGAGAUUGAUGCUAUUUGUAAGUCAAGGGGAUCGACUAGAGAUGGUACAGGAGUUCAUGAUGAUAUUGUAAACCAGCUUCUUACCAAGAUAGAUGGUGUGGAGUCUCUAAAUAAUGUUUUGCUUAUUGGAAUCACCAAUAGAAAGGAUUUGCUUGAUGAAGCCCUUUUGAGACCAGGACGCUUGGAGGUUCAAAUUGAGAUAGGCCUUCCUGAUGAAAAUGGUCGCUUACAGAUUCUUCAAAUUCACACAAACAAGAUGAAAGAGAAUUCUUUUCUUGCUCCUGAUGUGAACAUUCAAGAGCUUGCUGCACGUACAAGAAACUAUAGCGGUGCUGAACUUGAAGGUGUUGUAAAAAGUGCGGUAUCUUAUGCUUUGCAUAGACAACUAAGUAUGGAUGAUCUUACCAAGCCAGUUGAUGAAGAGAAUAUUCAAGUUACUAUGGAAGAUAUUUUGAAUGCACUCAACGAAAUAAUUCCUGCAUUUGGAGCCUCCACUGAUGACCUUGAACAGUGCAGCCGUAUGUUGUUGGGUUUACCUCUUUACUUGUUACUUGUGGAACAAGUUAAAGUGAGUGAAAGAAGGACGCUUCUUACCUGCCUUCUGGAAGGCCCGAGUGGAAGUGGAAAGAGCGCGCUAGCAGCUACUGUUGCCAUUGACAGUGAUUUUCCGUUUAUCAAGAUAGUCUCAGCAGAAGCGAUGGUUGGUCUCCAUGAAAGCACUAAAUGUGCCCAAAUUGUCAAGGUAUUUGAGGAUGCAUACAAGUCAGCUCAAAGCAUCAUCAUUCUUGAUGACAUGGAAAGGUUACUGGAGUAUGUUGCCAUUGGGCCUCGUUUUUCAAAUUUAGUUUGUCAGACGUUAAUGAUCCUGCUCAAGCGUCGACCUCGAAAGGAUACCACCGGAAGCCUCGCUAGAAGGAAGAUAGCACCAAUCGAGAAACUGGCACCCCCACAAACUUCUCACAAUACUCCCUCUAACAUUCCAAGAAAUCAGCCUGGGAUUAAUGUGGAACCUCUUUGAGCCCUCCCCUUGUUCCUCCCACGAGAAACACUGCCAUUGCGAGCGUCGUAGUUGUUGGAGCUGAACAGACCAUUGACUUCUCUUAACACCUUUUUUACCCACUUUCAAACGGGGCCGUCCCCUGAUCUUCAUGAUUUGGUGUAAUAUCUGAGAACAGAGAUGAAAGUCUUCCUUCGAAACCAUUGCAAGAAAGGCCACAAAAUGGGAUGGAGGAUGGAGGAUGUAAUUUCUUUUGGGCAAUGGUAACUUCAUCUCAAGGAAAAAAACUUCUGGUUAUAGGGACGACGAGUGAAGUCGGCUUCUUAGAUUCAAUGGGUAUUUGUAAGGCUUUCUCUUCCAUUUAUCAUGUUCCUACAUUGAAGACAGAGGAUGCAAAGAAG